AAUUGGCGGGGGAGCACUACAACGGGCGGAGCAUGCGGUUUAAUUGGAUUCAACGCCGGAAAUCUCACCAGGGGCGACAGCAUGAUGAAGGCCAGGCUGAAGACCUUGCCUGAUCCGCUGAGAGGUGGUGCAUGGCCGUCGUCAGUUCGUACUGUGAAGCAUCCUGUUAAGUCAGGCAACGAGCGAGACCCACGCCCACAGUUGCCAGCGAGCCCUUCGGGGUGGCGGGUACUCUGUGGGGACCGCCGCUGCUAGAGCGGAGGAAGGAAUGGGCAACGGUAGGUCAGUAUGCCCCGAAUCUCCCGGGCUACACGCGGGCUACAAUGGUCGGUACAAUGGGUAUCUACCCCGAGAGGGGAUGGAAAUCUCCUAAAACCGGUCGUAGUUCGGAUUGAGGGCUGCAACUCGCCCUCAUGAAGCUGGAAUCCGUAGUAAUCGCGUUUCAACAGAACGCGGUGAAUACGUCCCUGCUCCUUGCACACACCGCCCGUCAAACCACCCGAGUAGGGUCUGGAUAAGGGUGCGCCAUGUUGACGCAUUCGAAUCUGGGCUUUGCAAGGGGGGUUAAGUCGUAACAAGGUAACCAAGGGCGAAU
rnacentral:rRNA from 1 species